rnacentral:rRNA from 1 species
AAUCAACGCUGGCGGCAUGCCUAACACAUGCAAGUCGAACGGGAAGUGGGAGCAAUCCCAUGAGUAUAGUGGCGAACGGGUGCGUAACACGUGAGCGGACCUGCCGUACCUGUGGGGGAUAGCCGGCCCAACGGCCGGGUAAUACCGCAUACGCUUGUCUUGGGGCAUCCUGGGACAAAGAAAGCUCUGGGGGCAACCCUGGGGCGCAGGACGAGGGGCUCGCGGCCGUAUCAGCCUAGUUGGCGGGGUAACGGCCCACCAAGGCGGUGACGGUAGCUGGUCUGAGAGGAUGGCCAG